rnacentral:rRNA from 1 species
UACAGAGGGUGCGAGCGUUAAUCGGAAUUACUGGGCGUAAAGCGUGCGUAGACGGUUAUUUAAGUCGGAUGUGAAAGCCCCGGGCUCAACCUGGGAAUUGCAUUCGAGACUGAAUAGCUAGGGUGCGGUAGAGGGAAGCGGAAUUUCCGGUGUAGCGGUGAAAUGCGUAGAUAUCCGGAGGAACACCGGUGGCGAAGGCGGCUUCCUGGACCGACACUGACGCUGAGGCGCGAAAGCUAGGGGAGCAAACGGG